UACGAACUGUGCGAACGUUAUUCGGAAUCACUGGGCUUACAGGGUGCGUAGGCGGCUUUGCAAGUCAGGUGUGAAAGCCCCCGGCUCAACCGGGGAAUUGCGCUUGAAACUGCUUGGCUCGAGUCAGCUAGAGGUACACGGAACUUCCAGUGGAGCGGUGAAAUGUGUUGAUAUUGGAAGGAACACCGGAGGCGAAAGCGGUGUACUGGGGCUGGUCUGACGCUGAGGCACGAAAGCCAGGGUAGCGAACGGG
rnacentral:rRNA from 1 species